UCGUUCCUCCAAUAAUAAGGUUAUGGGCGGCCAUUUUUAACCUGUAUGAUGGUCAGCAGCUUGCUGUCUUCAUACCGCCUCACCGUCAUCUCUCGUGACCUCCUGAUUCUCUCAUUGUGGCAUUUACAUACUUCGUUGUUGGGUUUUCUUUCUCCUUGGCAUUUCCUCCAAGGCUGCUCGCCACGUCUUGCUUGGUUUCAGACGCCAUGUGAAAACGUAUUUUUAUAUCUAUAAGUCUAGGUUAGACCAUAUUCCUCCAUACGACACCUCCCUGUCCUCUGUUUUAUUUAUCUAUACACCCAUAUCCUCUGUGGGUCUCUUCAUCUUCACGCUUCCACCAUGGCUCUUAAUUUUCGACCUACCUGUCAUGAUUCAUUCUUCAAUGACGAACUGUUUUUCAUGGUUGAUUUGCGCUGGAGACGACGCUCCAAGAAAGCUGAUGUCCGUCGCUUUCCCUUAACUAAUUGGAGGAUAGCGGUCACCAUGUUUUGUCUAUAGUCUACACCAACACGGUUAGAAUUUCAUAUUGACGCUCUUAUUCCUUCGCCAUCCAUCUCACAAACAUCCUUUCCACUUUUGGAUUUUCUCUGCAAAUCAAGUUAUCGGUGGUGAAUGUCGACCCAUUUCGUAUGAUACUAUCAAUUCGACCACUCUGUUAUACCGUUCACAACUUUAAUCCACAGACGAAAUUAGAGAAUGCAACUUUCUAGAUGGAAUUACAGCAGAAAAGAGCCUUCACUUAUGUGGAAGGAAGUCAACAAAUUUAAUUUGUUUCACCCCUAUGCCUGCCUGUGUAUUUUAUUCCAUUAAGGAAGAAAUUAUUUGUACUGCUUUGAAACAGAGCAAGUAGAUGUUGCUGUUAUGGAGGCGGGAGUAGGUGGAGAUCUCGGAAAUUUGAACAAUGUGAUAUGCCUAUAUAAAAGAGAUCAUGAUGCUUUUCCAUCCAUAAUUGUUAGUUGGAGAUUUCAUCAAGGGUUGAAGGCGAUGCUAAUGAAGCUGAACAUGAUUGAGCAGGUUAUAUUGUACCUUUCAGCGUCGACAUCGGACAGAGAUUUGAAAGAAACUUUGACCAUCUUCUUGAUGCAAAGGUUCUUACACCCGAGUAUUUACAUUCUUUGAAUAUCAUUCACGGAGACAUGUAACUAGAAGUGGUCCAAAUUCCAGAUGCCACAUCAAGAUCGAAUCUGUUUAUAUUUAGACUUCAAUGCUGGUCCCACAUUUUGAUUUGGCGGCUACUGAAUGACCUCAACGAAUGGAAGUUGCACCCACAGAAGCUGCCAAUACACUAAUGACCUACACUAUUAGAAAUGGUGAUAGUUAUAUGCCACUUCUCACCUUGCAGAUAUACAACACCAGUUUAAUGCUCGAGAAAGUGAUUGGGGUUUCAAAGUGGAAGUUUGCAUUUCUGUCUUUGGGUCGUCUCACAUACCUUCAGGACUCAGAUAUCAUCUCCACUUUCAGAGAAGAGAUGUUUAUCGUGCUUGGAAACGUUACUUAGGAUUAGAACACUCUGAUAAUACACACCCAAAAGGUCUUAUGCUGCAAAUCAGAACCGACAGACUUAUGAUAAACCACUAAGAAUCUACAACUAAGCAAUUGAUGAAGUUUAUGCGACAAGUGAUGUUUUUGAGAAAUUAUUAAUCAUGGUCGUGGUAGAUAGAAUAGAUGUAUAUUUUUUGUUAAAAAAGGUACGUAGAACAGAUGAUAAUAGAAGCAUUAGUGUCCAGAGCAUGUGUGUGGAUGUAUUGAGGUAUAUAGAUUUGUGUUAUGCUUUUAUAACCUUUUCUUGUUCCAUUUUUGAUGUUUUGGGUUUUGUACUAGUUCCUUGUGUUCUUAUUGUAGAUAAGUGUACAAAAAGUUGCUAGCCAGAAAAAAAAAUGUUCAAUCUUAGAAUUGCAAAACACGUACCAUGUUUUGUUAUUUUGUAUACA